UAACUGCGAGUGAAGCGGGAAAAGCUCAAAUUUAAAAUCUGGUGGCYUUGCYAYCCGAGUUGUAAUCUGGAGAAGCGUUUUCYGCGUUGGACCGUGUACAAGUCUCUUGGAACAGAGCGUCGUAGAGGGUGAGAAUCCCGUCUYUGACACGGACCGCCAAUGCUYUGUGAUACGCUCUCGAAGAGUCSAGUUGUUUGGGAAUGCMGCUCAAAAUGGGUGGUAAAUUCCAUCUAAAGCUAAAUAUUGGCGARAGACCGAUAGCGAACAAGUACCGUGAGGGAAAGAUGAAAAGCACUUUGGAAAGARAGUUAAACAGUACYUGAAAUUGUUGAAAGGGAAACSCUUGAAKUCAGUCSCGUYGGGCGAGACUCAGCCMGGCUUUUGCCCGGUGUACUUCUCGUUCGACGGGCCAACAUCGAUUUYGGUCGGCAGAUAAAGGCGUGGGGAAUGUGGCACCUUCGGGUGUGUUAUAGCCUCUCGUCGCAUGYGUCGGUCGGGAUCGAGGACCGCAGCACGCCUUCUUGGCCGGGGUUCGCCCACGUAACGUGCUUAGGAUGUUGGCGUAAUGGCUUUAAUCGACCCGUCUUGAAACACGGACCAAGGAGUCUAACAUGCCCGCGAGUGUUAGGGUGGAAAACCCUUGCGCGUAAUGAAAGUGAAAGUUGGGACCCUYGUCRUGGGGGGCACCGACGCCCGGYCUUGAACUUCUGUGACGGYRCCGCGGUAGAGCGUGUAUGUUGGGACCCGAAAGAUGGUGAACUAUGCCUGAAUAGGGUGAAGCCAGAGGAAACUCUGGUGGAGGCUCGUAGCGAUUCUGACGUGCAAAUCGAUCGUCAAAUUA
rnacentral:rRNA from 1 species